rnacentral:misc_RNA from 1 species
AAAAUGCGAUAAGUAGCGUGAAUUGCAGACGCUUUGAACGUUAAAAUUUCGAACGCACAUUGCGCCAUAGGAGUCCUACCCUAUGGCACAUCUGGUUGAGGGUCGUGAUCGAAACAGCAGGAAAGAAAGCUGUAUCACGCAUUGGUGAAUUACCAAAACGACUCACCGAUUAGUAGUCGUUGGUAUUUUGCUAUAAUGUAUAGAGGGUAUGCCACUUUGUUGUGGAUACUUCCUUGUCACAUGAAUGGGCAGCCAGUUGAGACCUUAAAGGUCGGCGGCCAGGUAUGGUGCAAACUACUCUUCGGAGUCGAUUACCUGUCUGUGUUGGACCUAUCAACUUUGUUGUCUAUACGUGCUUGAUGGAAGACUUCUCUCAUAGAGAAUCGUACUCCCGACCUCA